UACGUAUGGUGCAAGCGUUAUCCGGAUUUACUGGGUGUAAAGGGAGCGUAGACGGAUAGGCAAGUCUGGAGUGAAAACCCGGGGCUCAACCCCGGGACUGCUUUGGAAACUGUUUAUCUGGAGUGCUGGAGAGGUAAGUGGAAUUCCUAGUGUAGCGGUGAAAUGCGUAGAUAUUAGGAGGAACACCAGUGGCGAAGGCGGCUUACUGGACAGUAACUGACGUUGAGGCUCGAAAGCGUGGGGAGCAAACAGG
rnacentral:rRNA from 1 species